GCUGGGCCCUGCCCUGAAGCUCUGGAAAUGCAGAGUCCCUGGUCUCCGGGACAGCGGGCAGCUGGGGCCAGGGAGUCUAGGGCGGAGGUCAGGGCUGCCCUUGGGUCCACUACCCCCAUCUGUGACUUGCGUUGGCCCUGGGAUACAGGUGCAAGGCCUCUUCACCCAGGAAGGGAGCUCUCCAACUGGAAUGUGAUCCUCAGCGAGUCUGAUCUGGACGGAGUCGACGUGGAUGUCUGUGUUGGACUUGUUUUUUACUUCUUUGACCAGCACUGAAAGUGAAGCCACCAUGCCACUCCGUGUGACACUGUCCUGUGCUGCCAUCACGUUUGCUCUGCCACCGUGAGACUUAGUAGCACCUGCUCUGCCUUGGGCGGACGUCUGAUUUGCUUCCAGUUUGGGGUUCCCCACAUAGGCAGCCCCAGCUUCUCUGUCCAUGAGGUUCUUGGUUUCCAAGCUCUUGCUAACGUUGAAGCCCAGUAUUUUUUGGAAAUGUUUUUUUUUUAAUUUUUUAAGAAUAUUUUUUAUUUGAGAGGAAGAAUUAUAGAAAGAGAUUUUCAUCUGUUGGUUCAAUCCCUAUAUGGCCAAAACAUCUGGAGCUGGGCCUAUCCGAAGUGAAGAGCCAGGAGCUUCUUCCAGUCUCCCAUAUCGGUGCAGUUCGGACAUCCUCUGCUGCUUUCCUAGGCCAUCCGCAGGGAGCUGCAUCAGAAGUGGAGCUGCUGGGACUUGAACUGAUGCCCAUGUGGUGUUCUAGCGCUGCAGGCAGAGGCUUAACCUACUAUUCCACAGCUCCAGUCCCUGAAGCCCAGUCUUGCACUAAGUGUCGAUGGACCAGGUAGAGCCCUGAUGCCAUUACUGGGUCCCAAGGUGGGGCCUUUGAGCAGUGAGUGGCUUGGGUAGGUUGCAGAGACUUGAGGAAGGUUAAGUAGGAGCCACCCACCUUCGCUCUGCUCCCCGUCUGCCAGCGUUGGACUGGGGGCGUCGGUGCAGUCAGCCCAGAUGGACCUUCCCCACUCCAGGGAGGUUCCCUGGGGCGUUCUAGCUGGAGGAAGGUAGGGCUGAGUGCCCAAGCGGUCUGGCCGCAGCCAGCUGUCAGCGUCCUCCAGCAGGCUUUUCUGCUGCGGGUUCUGUGUUCCGCGUUCUGCACCAGCCCUCCAGGUCUGUCUUUAGUGCUGCCUGCACCAGCAUUAGGGCCCUGGGCGGACAGCAGUGCGAGAGGACGCCUCCUGCCUCUGCUCUGGGCUCUCCCUCCCAAGAUCGCAGAUUCCGACCCACAGCCGUCCUUCCUGGGAUCCCCUUUGUGCACGAGGGGCAGCAGCUGGCCUGGCUCUGCUCGCACCACACAGUGCAGGAGCCCCUGCUCCUCUUUGCCGUCACAGCCCCUGCUCUGUGCCCUGUGGGGGCUCUGGGGGCAGGGGCACAAUGGGUUUUGCAUGGAGAUGGGUCCCAAUGGGCCUUGCUUCCUAGAUGCUGGGCCCCCCAGCCUGGAGAGCACGUGUGUGUGGGAGGGGCUUUUGGACCGGGGCUGUGUCACUGUGGUAUAUAAUAACCACUACUACUAGCAUAUGCCACAGUGGCACAGACCCUGACAAAAUCCCCUGUCUCCCCUCACUGGAGAUUCUGCAGCUCCAGCGGCUUCUCUCAGGGAAGACAGCUGCAGCCCUCUGCAGGGAUCCCUCGUCUGCUCCAGGUGAGCCCCGUGGGCCAGGUCUUGGUCCAGCAGGAGGCUGGGCAGUGACAGAGAAGCUCCCCUCUCCAGACAGGAGCCCCCUCCUCACUGGCCGCCCUGGUGGCCCAGGGUUUUUGUAGGAAGAGGUCUCCUGUGACGUCAGGCCUGGAAAGGCUUGGAGUCUUGCUGUUUGCAUUCUGCAUGGUGGGCUUCUCUUGCUUUCUUCCUGACCCUGGGUGGCUGGUGGGGAUCCAGGUCUCCACCACUUCCCCAGUCGCCUCGUGUGGCUUGUGUUCUAGCCCUCGACGUUGCCAUGGCCUGGCCCCUGGCGGCCAGGCCUGGGACGCUGUGGCCCCGGCUUCGGUUUCUCUUCCUUGGACACAUGUGCAUGUCUCUGGAGAUGUCAUCCCAGCCCCAGAGAGAGACAGGUCUCUGCCUGGCCCGCGCAGUGCUCCAGCUCACGCACACUGCCAUGUGUGCCUGCACAGUUUGAGCCUUCAUCCCGGCCACUCCAGCCCAGUCUCUGCAGCGGCCCCCAGAGCAACAGCAGCGCAGCCGGGGGCUCCGUGUGCCGCCCGCAGUAGGCUUGGCGAGCAGGGUGUGCAGGCUCAGGAAGGUGCAGGGCCUCCUGUGGCUGCACCGUUGGAGUCCAGGUUGGGCGCUGACUCUCACCAUCCAGCUGCCUCUCGCAGGUGUUUUCUGUGUGCUGCUGGCUUCCUGCUUUAGUGGCACAAGACCCAGGACACUCGCACAAUGGCAAGGUAACCCUUUGCACCGCCCACAGGGUGAGCACAGGGUCCCUGGCUUUAGUCCCCGACUCCCGGCCAAGUGUUGUCUGAGAUAAGCACAGUGCAAGUCAGUGAGGCGGCAGAAGCAGGCUUUUCAGGGACUACUGACAGCAGCGAGAGGUUUGGCCUCGCAGAGAGAGAGAGUGGGGCAAAGAGGGGGCUGGCAGGCGGCGUGGGGCCGUGGGGGCAGUGAACAGCUCCCGAGGCCUCCAUGCCCCUGCAGGGCACCCUGCUGGCCUCUGUGGCGAGCACCUGCGGCCGGGUCAGGUCGAUGGGUGGCUUCCCUGCUCACAAGUCUGUGGCUAUGGCUGAGAGAGGGAAGACAGAGUGAAGGAGGCUGAAAUUGCAGAUCCCUCCUGCACAUGCCUACCCGGAUUCAGACCCUGGCAAAUGUCCCCUGCUUGGGUCAUCUCCAGGACUCUCACUUUCUGGAGUGUGGUAAAAUCUGGUCUUUCCGGACCCUUACAUCUUUAGUCUUCAAAAAUCUUGUGAGAGUUUUCAGGGUGUCAACACUCAAGAAUUGUAGAGACACAGCGGAUUAGGCCAGACUGAGGAGUAGUAUGCAGAGGUGUAGCUGACCUGUGUCUGCUGGGCUGUGUGUGCUGGGCUGUGAGGAGCUGACUGUGAGGAGCUGGGCUGUGUGUGUUGGCUGUGAGGUGCUGGCCCCUGAGCAGCUGGGCUGUGUGUGCUGGCUGUGAGGUGCUGGCCCCUAGGUGCCGACUCCUGAGCAGCUGGGCUGUGUGUGCUGGCUGUGAUGUGCUGGCUCCUAAGUGCUGGUCUUUGCAGUGGCAGGUUGCUCAUCCCUGUGGACACUCUGCCUCUGAGAAUUCUAUGGACCAGGACCUGUGGGUGCAGAGAGUGCUGUGUCAUGUCCUUGCCCCUCCCAAGCUCAAGGCUCCCAGGUCCUCUGCUGCAGACUCCUUGGCCACCCUGCAUGGACACUGAGGCUGUGUUCUCACUGCUGUGUCCAGGCGUUGACUUCUGUGUCAAGUGCAGUCUGCGUUUUUCCAGGUUCCUGUGUGGCUGUGUUGGACUCACUGUUCUAGGCAGGCUCAUGAGCUGUCUUUCAGUGGAAAUCCUGGUAAAUGGGACCCUUCCCAGAAGGGCCCCUGACCUGAGCCCUGGGCCUCAGCGUCCAAGGGACUCAGCCUUCCCUGGGUGAGGACUGCAGGCCUCAGCUGCUAUUCAACGCGGUCUCUCCAGGUGGUCCAAGGCUCUUGUCUUUGGGCUCAGCCCUGAGACGCACAGAGUUCUGCUUCAGCCUCUCAGGCCUCUGUUUGUGGGUCAGUGACACAGCCCUGGCACCCAGCCCUGGCACCCGGCCCAGCCCCUCCAGUCCUCAGUGGGUUGAAGCUCUGCUGCCCUCUCCUGACUCUGGCCUCACCUGGAGGUCUUGGCCCCUCUCACUGCAGGCUCCCUGCACCAGCCCGGGACACACUCUUUGUCCAGGGACAAGAUACAGCACGGAGACUCUCCUCUCUCCAGUAGGGUGGACACUUCCCUGAGGCUCUUGGUGGGGUCUCCGGGCCUCCACACCUACAUCCCAAGGUAAAAGCCCUCUGUCCAUCAGCUGCCCAGGUCCUGUUGUUGGCCCCUCCAAGCCGGGGACAGGAGCAGGACCCCAGCUCCUGCUCUGUGGCUGUCACUGGACGGAGUCACAGCUCACAUUUUCCAGAGUCGUGCAGGGGCUGGCUUCCUUUUCAGGUUUUGGAGCCAGUGAGUAUGUGCCCAGGGCACGUGUCAGCCAUGGCAGGUGUGAGUGGUCAGAGCACAGGGAAGGACCACCCAGCAGUUGAGCCAUGGGCAUGGGACCCAAGGCUGUGAGGGGAGCCAGCAGCACCUUGGAGAGACCAGAGCCAACUCCCCAACUCCUAGGGUCCCCCUCAGGAGUGGUACUGCCCCAAGGAGGUCAGUGCCUGACGGAAACAAAGCCCCCAGCUCAGGGGAUGUAGAAGGGGAGUCUGACCCUAGCAGGUGUCUGACCAUGGGGCAAGAGGUCAGAUGCUGCCGAGAGCUGAGUUGGGUGUGAGCGUGAGGGUGGCAUGGGUGUGGGUGGUGGUGGUGUGGAUGUGGGUUAGGUGGUCUGGGUGUGGGUAAGAUUUUGCCAGUUGUAUGGGGUCAGGUGCUGGCUCUGAGUUACAUUUCCCGGGGCCUGCACAGUGUGCCGUGGCUGUCCUCACCAUGGGCACAGAGGGCUCUGGAUGUCAGAGAGUCCCACAGGGCCAAGGCCCAGCUGUUGCAGGUAGGCCCUGGAGAGUUGCCUGCACUGUCCACGUCCUCUCCCGGCCUCCACAGGGCCUCUGUCCAUGCUGUCUCUCGUGGUCCCAUCCAGAGGGAUGCUGAGACUACUUUACUUCCUCAUGUUGGUUCGCCAUCUCUCCACGCAAAGAUGCCUUCUCCCUGGGAGGGCGCAGUCUCAGGUCCUAGGACAAAGACCCAGACCCUAUGGGGGCCCCUCAGCCCUAUUACCCUGGACAAGCUGGUGGAGCCAGGCCCUCUUCUGCCACACCAGAUCCCAGCUGGAUCCUGUUCCCUCUGCUUCCCAUGCACUGGGAGCACCUGUACCCCACGGAGGGCAUCACAGCCCACUCGGCCUGGGGGCAGCGGGAAGCUAGGCUGAUGCAGUCCCAGCCACCUGAGUCUGCCCUGGGUGGGGCUCAGGGGAAGGCUUGCCCCGAGCCCCUCAACCUCUCGCCCUCUGUCAGGGAUGGUCUUGACCCCAGAGGGCUGCCCCCUGGGCUCUGUGUGGCACUGUGCAGUUCCAAGGCUCACCCUUCCCCCUGAGGUUGGGGGAGUUAGGCCUGUAGCACAGGGCAGGCCACUGUACAUGCCACACGCCGCCCUGGCUGUCAUGAAUCUCCACACAGGACUCGUCUGUCUCACCCCCCACUGAGCAGUGCACCUGCGGGCUCUCCCCUGGGCUGGGACUCGCAGCUCCCCAGGUCCAUGCAGGGGCCAGGGCAGGCCAAGAGGCAGUUGGAGGUUUCCUUUGUUUCCCUGGAUCCACACGCAGCAGUGAGCACUGGGGGCUGCUGUCCUUGAGUCCUCAGGGCUCUGGAUGUGUCCUGGGCCUUGGCCACACCUGGUGGCUGCUCCUGGCUCUGCUGUUUUGUCAGUGGCACUGGAACGUGGCCCUCCUUACAGUCUGCACAGUAGGGAGGCCCCUCCAUAGAGCUGCAAGCUACCCACCAGGCCCACGAGGGAGCCCCUGACAUGGGCGGAGGCAGGUGGCUUUGACCCUGUUUGCAUGUCUCCAUCUUGUUUCCCCUCUGUGGGAGGAAUUUCUCCUGUGCUAGCAGAGAGAGGACACUGUGGCCAUGCACUCACACACACAGUCUGACCUGGAGCAGAGGCCACUUACCGCGGGCGUGGAACAGAUGCUGCUCGGAGCCUGGGGACAAGGUCAGCCAACCCAGAUCCAGCACUUUGAGUCUCCCUGGGUCUCCAACUGCCCAUCCAUCUCCUUUGGCUGGGAGCCCGGGGGUCCAGGGUAUCCUCAGUGAGAUCUCCUGACCCUGUGGUCACUCAUUGCCAAACCCUGUCCCUGCUGAGGCGCCAGGCAAAGGUAUUCAUGCAUCUCAAUUCUAGCUGCACGAAACGGGAGGAGAGCCUUCCCUGUGGAUGCACACGAAGCAAAGCCGCCCACGGCGCUGUCCCUGGCCAUGGUGAGGGCCAUCUCGUGGUUCGGGCUUGGGCUUUCCUGCAGUGGCCUCCCUGGUGGUCUCUCUUUUACUGUCUUGGGAGGGCUGGGAAGGGUGCUGGUCUCAGGGGUGGUCCUAUCUCUUCAGGCAUGAGGACCUCAGCUUGAGACCACGCCUGUGCUUUCUUAUCUCUCCCUUUCCCUGUCCAGAAGUGGAUGUUUUUCCUGGCAGCAAAGAGAUGGAUCUUGGUUUUCUUUGCUCUUCUCUUUGGUGGGUGGGGUGGGUUGGCCAGGGGAAAGGGAGACGCAGGAUUUCACAGAGAUCUUCUUGCAAGUGUCGUUCUCCUGCUUUCUGUAGUUUUCUCUUGGGCUGCUUAUUGCUUAGUGCUGACUUUAGUUAUUUUUUUUUUAAAGAUUUAUUUAUUUAUUUGAAAGUCAGAGUUACACACAGAGAGGAGAUGCAGAGAAAGAGGUCUUCCAUCCGCUGGUUCACUCCCCAUUUGGCUGCAACAGCUGGAGCUGGGCCAAUCUGAAGCCAGGAGCCAGGAGCCAGGAGCCAGGAGCUUCUUCUGGUCUCCCACGUGGGUGCAGGGGCCAAGCACUUGGGCCAUCUUCUACUGCUUUCCCAGGCCAUAGUAGAGGGCUGGAUUGGAAAUGGAGCAGCCGGGACUUGAACAGCACCCCUAUGGAAUGCCGGGGCUGCAAGCAGCGGCUUUACCUGCUACGCCACACUGUGGGCCCUAGUCUUCCUAAGCUCUGGGCGCAAGUGCUUCUUGAGAUGUGUCCUUCCCCUCCUUCUGUUUCCAUCACAGUGUCAUUCACACGCUGAAGCUUGGAAUAAUAAGGAAGUUGCAUUUAUUCAUAUUUUUUCCUUUAUAAAGGGUAUGUUGGGGUUGUAGCUAAGACCUUAAAGGGAACUAAAGGACACCCAGGAUUUUCUCCACGGCUUCCUCUAGAAAUUGUGUUGAUGUGUGUUGCACAAGAGGUGUGUGAUCCAUUUUGAGUUGAUCUCUGUAGAAAUCAUAGCGUUUUAAUGGUUUUUCUUGUUUGUUGUUGUUUUAAUACUCUCUGUUGAAAAGAUUAUCUUUUUUUACGCCACUAAGUUCCCUGUGCUUCUUUUCAAAGACCUGCCUGCAUUCACUCAUCCUGAGUAUGGACCUAGAGAUGGAAGUGCUGGGUGACACUGCAGUACUUUUGCUUUUGGGGAAGCCCCAUUAUCCUUCCACUAUGGUUGGAGCAUUUUACAAUGCACUGUGGGGAGUAAGCCCACUUGAGACCGCCCCAGAAACAUGGAGGGAGCAGAAAGCCAGGUAAGUGGUGAGCAGCAGGUGCAAGCAGGCUCCUCCCUCAGAGACUCAGCCUUUGUAUCCCCGCCAUGUGGAUGUCCCUUCUUCCGGUUUCCGGAUGGAUCCGUGCACAUGACGGGCUGCUCAAAUUUCAGGUCUGCUGAGAGAAUAGGUCAGGCCAUUGUCCUCCUGGCACCCAAGGACACUGACCACAGCUGUCCUUCAUGAACCUUAAUCCCAAAAUGUAGGGCAAAUGCUCAGACCCGACUGCUUUCGAACGCCAGCUCUUGGCAGCUGCUUAGGUGCUGACAACUCAGACAAAGCGUCUGCGGGUUGUGUGUUCUGGAGAGCAGGAGCCGGGUUGUCCUGUGUCCAGCUUCGCCCAAGCCCUACCCUGAGCCCCUCCAAGGCAUUUGCAGGUUUGAAUGAAUGCUUCUUCUCCAGGGGAAGCAAGCAUUUCUCAGGGGUGCUAGGCGACUUCUUCGCAGGAACUGCAGAGGCAGAAGAAUCUCAACUCCAGUCCUCUUGCAGCCUGAGAUCUGGGGUUUCAAGAGAGAAAGCAGCUUAUCUAUCAAGGAGGGCAGCUUAUCCAUCAAGCAGAAGCAACUGCACUUUUGCCAAGACGCAGACCUCUCCUCCAGUGACCACAGCUUGCCCUGAGGUGGGCCUGGGCUUAGUGAUUCCUGAGCUCCCUCUGGGGGUCCUGGGAGCCCCUGGUCAUUUCCUGCAAGUUGGGGGUCAGGGGAGUGAGUAGUGUGACACAAAGGUCAGGAUGCUGCUUGGGACACCUGCGUCCUGGUUCAGUCUCGGCCUCUCUGAUUCUGUUCCUGCUUUUCACCGAUGUGUACCCUGGGAGACAAUGAGUAUUGGCUCAAACUCUGGGUCCUCCUUGCCAAUACGGGAAAUCUGGGCUGACUUCUAGGCUCCUGUCUUUUGGUUUGCUCACUCUUGGCUGUUGUGAGCAUGUGGGGAGGGAAUUGUGGGUAUAAAAUUUCUCUCUCUCUCUGCCUUUAUGUCUC